CUUACCUUUAAUAAUUCAAAGAUCCAAAUGUUAAUUUAUUCAAAAAGUUAAUACUCUCAUAUAUCCACUUAAAAUGAGAGAGUUUUCCAUUAAACUCAACUGAAUUAGAUCAAACUCUAAAAUAAAAUUUCAUUACUUUGCCUCUGUUUAAUGCUUCAGUGGUCAGUCACGAGCUGACUUUAUCCACUGCAAGCAGGACAAGAGCUGGCUGGGCAGAUGUGAAGGCAGCACUUACCAUGCAAUCUCCUCCCCUUUUGGCCUCGACUCAUAAGCAUUCACAGAAGACAGAAAAAUAAGUUGUCUGAAGUCUGGCCCAAAUUUUGCUGAAUCACUUAGAUUCCUGCAGGUUACUUUUUUGAGCAUCUUACAGCAUCUUCGGAUCAGCCAACAAAGAAAUUUCUUUUGGACACAGCAUGUGGUCAAAUGAAGAUUCUGUUCAAAGUGACACGAAAUCAGAAAUAUUGGCUAUAUAACAGUAAAAGAAAGCCUUAAAAUAGCAAAAAGAUGUCAAGCAAAAGAAAACAGCACCUUGCUCACAUCAGGUGAUACACUGGAGAGUUCAAAAACAUCUGAACAAAACAAAAGAGGAAAAGAAGAAGCACACAAUACUUUAAAACUGGCAAAUGUAAUAAACUACAAGAAAU
rnacentral:lncRNA from 1 species